AGAAACACCUUGCUGGCUACAGUCUGAAGCAGGGUUCUAGAUGAGGAAGGCUGGAGCUCUUCACGGGUGGAAAAGGCAGACAUUCAGUCAGAGGAAGCUGCCUGAUGCUGAGAAAUGUGUCCAUCUUCUCCAGGGGAACCCACUGAAGGGCAACAUACAUCAAAGUCCCUUGAAGCCAUGGGCAUCCAUAUGCCAGUAGUCAGUGUCAGGGUGACGGCUUCAUCAGCUGACACUUCUCCAGAAGAAACCAAAGUGAUUUGCAACUGAAUUUACAAUGUGAGGAAGCAUGGUGUGAAAACUAUUCAGCUGCCCUCCACAACUUUGCAGUCUUACUACAUUUGUUCUCAGCCAAGACUUAUGAGUUCAUGAAGAGGACAUUCCAACUGCCAAAAAUCCACAACUUUGCAUGUAUGACAGCAAAGAAGGAAGAAUAAAAUGUUUGAAAAAGUACUUUUGAUAUGCUGGAACAGAGAACAUGAGCUCCUGAAUAUAGUCUGCAAGCUUCCAAUAUCAUAUUUGUGGCUGACAUCUGUUUUGUACUUAAUAGAAAAUGAUGAGAAAGAUGGGACAUACAUCCAAUGAAUAAAUAAUAAAUUGUGCCAUCAAACAGAGGAUGAUAUAGAGCAUAGCAAUCCUGCUUGAGGUGGUGGGAAAAAAGUUGUUGGCUCUCUUAUUUCAAAAACAAGAAGCCAAAUUGGAGAAGAUCAUCCUAGGAAGAGCUACAUAGGCAAUACACCAUUGGACAAAAUGGGUGUCAUCUGAAGGAGAGAUAAGUCAGUCAGUGGGGAUAUACAGUUGCCUCUCCAUUUUUAUGGACUUGAGAUCUGCAGUUUUGAUUAUUCGUGGAGGGGCGACCUCCAUUAAAGUUAAUGGGGCACGCACCCAUGACACAUGUACAUGGCUCUACAUAGGAGCACACAGCCAUUCAAAGGUUGAAUGGGACUUGAAUAUAUGCG